UAUACUGCAAGUCGAGCGAACAGAGAAGGAGCUUGCUCCUUUGACGUUAGCGGCGGACGGGUGAGUAACACGUGGGCAACCUACCUUAUAGUUUGGGAUAACUCCGGGAAACCGGGGCUAAUACCGAAUAAUCUAUUUUACUUCAUGGUGAAAUACUGAAAGACGGUUUCGGCUGUCGCUAUAAGAUGGGCCCGCGGCGCAUUAGCUAGUUGGUGAGGUAACGGCUCACCAAGGCGACGAUGCGUAGCCGACCUGAGAGGGUGAUCGGCCACACUGGGACUGAGACACGGCCCAGACUCCUACGGGAGGCAGCAGUAGGGAAUCUUCCACAAUGGGCGAAAGCCUGAUGGAGCAACGCCGCGUGAGUGAAGAAGGUUUUCGGAUCGUAAAACUCUGUUGUAAGGGAAGAACAAGUACAGUAGUAACUGGCUGUACCUUGACGGUACCUUAUUAGAAAGCCACGGCUAACUACGUGCCAGCAGCCGCGGUAAUACGUAGGUGGCAAGCGUUGUCCGGAAUUAUUGGGCGUAAAGCGCGCGCAGGCGGUCCUUUAAGUCUGAUGUGAAAGCCCACGGCUCAACCGUGGAGGGUCAUUGGAAACUGGGGGACUUGAGUGCAGAAGAGGAAAGUGGAAUUCCAAGUGUAGCGGUGAAAUGCCUAAAGAUUUGGAAGAACACCAAUGGCGAAGGCGACUUUCUGGACUGGAAG
rnacentral:rRNA from 1 species